AUUGAACGCUGGCGGCAGGCUUAACACAUGCAAGUCGAACGGUAGCAGGAAGAAAGCUUGCUUUCUUUGCUGACGAGUGGCGGACGGGUGAGUAAUGCUUGGGAAUCUGGCUUAUGGAGGGGGAUAACUGUGGGAAACUGCAGCUAAUACCGCGUAUUCUCUGAGGAGGAAAGGGUGGGACCUUAGGGCCACCUGCCAUAAGAUGAGCCCAAGUGGGAUUAGGUAGUUGGUGGGGUAAAGGCCUACCAAGCCUGCGAUCUCUAGCUGGUCUGAGAGGAUGACCAGCCACACUGGAACUGAGACACGGUCCAG
rnacentral:rRNA from 1 species